UUUUAAACCUUGAUCAUUAAGCCAUUAAUCCAAUAUUUCCUACACUACCAUACAUAAAUCAAUAUAAAUCACAAUUCAUGUUCAUUCCAAAUGACUAUCUUCACAUUAUAAUCAUUUUCAAUACAUGUACAUUUUGAACCAAUACCUAACCAAUACAAAAUCGUUCAUAAGCCAAGUCCCUAAAUCAAUAUGAACAAACUACAAAUCAUAGCCACAAUUAUUUAAUACAAUAUAAAAGCCCAUGCACAACCCACUCCAAGUCAUAGCAGUCACAACAUUAAACUAAUUCAUUCACCUACAAUAAGAGAAAACACUUGUAAAUGCAGACAAAGAGCUUCAUGUGCCAGAUUUCACAACAAAGUCUACAAACCAUCAACACCAAAGCUUAGCAUAAUAUCCAAUUUACACUAUCAUUAAGCAUUCUAAAUAAACUAACUUCAAUAACAGAUUUAAUAACUUCAGAGCCUCUUGAACUAAUUCAACCUCCCUUAAAAAACUUCUUAACAAAAUCCUAACUGCCCUAACUGUUUGCUAACCAUCUAACAAACCUCCAAUCACCCUCCAAAAACUUCCAUAACAAAAUCGACAUCAAAAAACUUCUGCUAACCACCUGCAGCAGAAUUACAACUCUCAUUUCUAACCUUCGACACCCUUCAACUGAAACCUAACAACCUUUAACCACUCUUCAACUGAAUCCAUCACCACCAACCUGCACAAUUUUCCAAAUCUCCCUUCAACCUACUAAUAGAAUAACAACGUUCCAACUGCUUCAAAAACUCCCACACAGAAUUCUUCAAUGA
rnacentral:lncRNA from 1 species